CACCACGCCCGGCCUACAUCCACUAACUUCUAAAGCCAGUUAUGGUCAUGUGGCCAGAUCUGAUGAAUCAGAUGUGGCAGAAAGGAUGCGAAGAAGCUCUGAGCAGGUGCCCUCCCUCUACAUGUUCCCACCAUCCUGCGUCCUUGUGCUGCGCCGGACCAGGCAUGCAAGAACAACACACCAAGGAUGGCGGAGCAACAAGAUAGAAGAGGCCUGAGUCCCAG
rnacentral:lncRNA from 1 species